UGGGGAAUAUUGCACAAUGGGCGCAAGCCUGAUGCAGCAACGCCGCGUGAGGGACGACGGCCUUCGGGUUGUAAACCUCUUUUAGUAGGGAAGAAGCGAAAGUGACGGUACCUGCAGAAAAAGCACCGGCUAACUACGUGCCAGCAGCCGCGGUAAUACGUAGGGUGCAAGCGUUGUCCGGAAUUAUUGGGCGUAAAGAGCUCGUAGGCGGUUUGUCGCGUCUGCUGUGAAAAACCCGAGGCUCAACCUCGGGCCUGCAGUGGGUACGGGCAGACUAGAGUGCGGUAGGGGAGAAUGGAAUUCCUGGUGUAGCGGUGGAAUGCGCAGAUAUCAGGAGGAACACCGAUGGCGAAGGCAGUUCUCUGGGCCGUAACUGACGCUGAGGAGCGAAAGCGUGGGGAGCGAACAGGAUUAGAUACCCUGGUAGUCCACGCCGUAAACGUUGGGCGCUAGAUGUGGGGCACCAUUCCACGGUUUCCGUGUC
rnacentral:rRNA from 1 species